rnacentral:tRNA from 1 species
GCGGGAAUAGUUCAGUGGUAGAGUUCUGGCCUUCCAAGCCAGCUGUGAGGGUUCGAUCCCCUUCACCCGCUCCA